rnacentral:snRNA from 1 species
GUGUUGUAUGAAAGGAGAGAAGGUUAGCACCCCCCCUUGACAAGGAUGAAGAGGCUCUCGGGCCUGCACAACAACAGAAAACCACUGC